rnacentral:rRNA from 1 species
AUUGAACGCUGGCGGAAUGCUUUACACAUGCAAGUCGAACGGCAGCACGGGGCAACCUGGUGGCGAGUGGCGAACGGGUGAGUAAUACAUCGGAACGUGCCCAAUCGUGGGGGAUAACGUAGCGAAAGUUACGCUAAUACCGCAUACGAUCUACGGAUGAAAGCGGGGGAUCGCAAGACCUCGCGCGAAUGGAGCGGCCGAUGUCAGAUUAGGUAGUUGGUGGGGUAAAGGCUCACCAAGCCAACGAUCUGUAGCUGGUCUGAGAGGACGACCAGCCACACUGGGACUGAGACACGGCCCAGACUCCUACGGGAGGCAGCAGUGGGGAAUUUUGGACAAUGGGCGCAAGCCUGAUCCAGCCAUUCCGCGUGCAGGAUGAAGGCCUUCGGGUUGUAAACUGCUUUUGUACGGAACGAAACGGCGAGCUCUAAUACAGUUUGCUAAUGACGGUACCUGCAGAAUAAGCACCGGCUAACUACGUGCCAGCCGCCGCCGUAACAC